GAUGAACGCUGGCGGCGUGCCUAAUACAUGCAAGUCGAGCGAACAGACGAGGAGCUUGCUCCUUUGACGUUAGCGGCGGGCGGGUGAGUAACACGUAGGUAACCUACCUAUAAGACUGGGAUAACUUCGGGAAACCGGAGCUAAUACCGGAUAAUAUUUCGAACCGCAUGGUUCGAUAGUGAAAGAUGGCUUUGCUAUCACUUAUAGAUGGACCUGCGCCGUAUUAGCUAGUUGGUAAGGUAACGGCUUACCAAGGCAACGAUACGUAGCCGACCUGAGAGGGUGAUCGGCCACACUGGAACUGAGACACGGUCCAGACUCCUACGGGAGGCAGCAGUAGGGAAUCUUCCGCAAUGGGCGAAAGCCUGACGGAGCAACGCCGCGUGAGUGAUGAAGGUCUUCGGAUCGUAAAACUCUGUUAUUAGGGAAGAACAAACGUGUAAGUAACUGUGCACGUCUUGACGGUACCUAAUCAGAAAGCCACGGCUAACUACGUG
rnacentral:rRNA from 1 species